rnacentral:rRNA from 1 species
AACGAACGCUGGCGGCGUGCCUAACACAUGCAAGUCGAACGCGAAAGCCUGGGCAACUGGGCGAGUAGAGUGGCGCACGGGUGAGUAACACGUGGGUAACCUACCUUCGAGUGGGGAAUAACUCCUCGAAAGGGGAGCUAAUACCGCAUAAGACCACGACCUCUUUGGGGGUCGCGAUCAAAGGUGGCCUCAUCAAGCGGAGUGUUUGGGACGAUCUUCCCGAGUGGAGGAUGGUCCUUAGCGCUUUGCCCAGUGAAGCUGUUGCUCGAAGAGGGGCCCGCGUCCCAUCAGCUAGUUGGUAGGGUAACGGCCUACCAAGGCGACGACGGGUAGCU